rnacentral:misc_RNA from 1 species
UACGGAGGGGGCUAGCGUUGUUCGGAAUUACUGGGCGUAAAGCGCGCGUAGGCGGCUUGACAAGUUGGAGGUGAAAGCCCGGAGCUCAACUUCGGAAUUGCCUUCAAGACUGUCUCGCUCGAGGCAGGGAGAGGAGAGCGGAAUACCCAGUGUAGAGGUGAAAUUCGUAGAUAUUGGGUGGAACACCGGUGGCGAAGGCGGCUCUCUGGCCCUGUACUGACGCUAAGGCGCGAAAGCGUGGGGAGCAAACAGG